rnacentral:rRNA from 1 species
UGAACGCUAGCUACAGGCUUAACACAUGCAAGUCGAGGGGCAGCAUGGUCUUAGCUUGCUAAGGCCGAUGGCGACCGGCGCACGGGUGAGUAACACGUAUCCAACCUGCCGUCUACUCUUGGACAGCCUUCUGAAAGGAAGAUUAAUACAAGAUGGCAUCAUGAGUCCGCAUGUUCACAUGAUUAAAGGUAUUCCGGUAGACGAUGGGGAUGCGUUCCAUUAGAUAGUAGGCGGGGUAACGGCCCACCUAGUCUUCGAUGGAUAGGGGUUCUGAGAGGAAGGUCCCCCACAUUGGAACUGAGACACGGUCCAAACUCCUACGGGAGGCAGCAGUGAGGAAUAUUGGUCAAUGGGCGAGAGCCUGAACCAGCCAAGUAGCGUGAAGGAUGACUGCCCUAUGGGUUGUAAACUUCUUUUAUAAAGGAAUAAAGUCGGGUAUGGAUACCCGUUUGCAUGUACUUUAUGAAUAAGGAUCGGCUAACUCCGUGCCAGCAGCCGCGGUAAUACGGAGGAUCCGAGCGUUAUCCGGAUUUAUUGGGUUUAAAGGGAGCGUAGAUGGAUGUUUAAGUCAGUUGUGAAAGUUUGCGGCUCAACCGUAAAAUUGCAGUUGAUACUGGAUAUCUUGAGUGCAGUUGAGGCAGGCGGAAUUCGUGGUGUAGCGGUGAAAUGCUUAGAUAUCACGAAGAACUCCGAUUGCGAAGGCAGCCUGCUAAGCUGCAACUGACAUUGAGGCUCGAAAGUGUGGGUAUCAAACAGGAUUAGAUACCCUGGUAGUCCACACGGUAAACGAUGAAUACUCGCUGUUUGCGAUAUACUGCAAGCGGCCAAGCGAAAGCGUUAAGUAUUCCACCUGGGGAGUACGCCGGCAACGGUGAAACUCAAAGGAAUUGACGGGGGCCCGCACAAGCGGAGGAACAUGUGGUUUAAUUCGAUGAUACGCGAGGAACCUUACCCGGGCUUAAAUUGCAGAUGAAUUACGGUGAAAGCCGUAAGCCGCAAGGCAUCUGUGAAGGUGCUGCAUGGUUGUCGUCAGCUCGUGCCGUGAGGUGUCGGCUUAAGUGCCAUAACGAGCGCAACCCUUGUUGUCAGUUACUAACAGGUUCCGCUGAGGACUCUGACAAGACUGCCAUCGUAAGAUGUGAGGAAGGUGGGGAUGACGUCAAAUCAGCACGGCCCUUACGUCCGGGGCUACACACGUGUUACAAUGGGGGGUACAGAGGGCCGCUACCACGCGAGUGGAUGCCAAUCCCCAAAACCUCUCUCAGUUCGGACUGGAGUCUGCAACCCGACUCCACGAAGCUGGAUUCGCUAGUAAUCGCGCAUCAGCCACGGCGCGGUGAAUACGUUCCCGGGCCUUGUACACACCGCCCGUCAAGCCAUGGGAGCCGGGGGUACCUGAAGUGCGUAACCGCGAGGAGCGCCCUAGGGUAAAACUGGUGACUGGGGCUAAG